GAUGAACGCUGGCGGCGUGCCUAAUACAUGCAAGUCGAGCGAACGGACGAGAAGCUUGCUUUUCUGAUGUUAGCGGCGGACGGGUGAGUAACACGUGGAUAACCUACCUAUCAGACUGGGAUAACUUCGGGAAACCGGAGCUAAUACCGGAUAAUAUUUUGAACCGCAUGGUUCAAAAGUGAAAGACGGUCUUGCUGUCACUUAUAGAUGGAUCCGCGCUGCAUUAGCUAGUUGGUAAGGUAACGGCUUACCAAGGCAACGAUGCAUAGCCGACCUGAGAGGGUGAUCGGCCGCACUGGAACUGAGACACGGUCCAGACUCCUAAGGGAGGCAGCAGUAGGGAAUCUUCGGCAAUGGGCGAAAGCCUGACGGAGCAACGCCGCGUGAGUGAUGAAGGUCUUCGGAUCGUAAAACUCUGUUAUUAGGGAAGAACAGAUGUGUAAGUAACUGUGCACAUCGUGACGGUACCUAAUCAGAAAGCCACGGCUAACUACGUG
rnacentral:rRNA from 1 species